GAUGAACGCUGGCGACGUGCCUAAUACAUGCAAGUCGAACGCUGAAGCUUGGUGCUUGCACCGAGCGGAUGAGUUGCGAACGGGUGAGUAACGCGUAGGUAACCUGCCUCUUAGCGGGGGAUAACUAUUGGAAACGAUAGCUAAUACCGCAUAAAAGUCGAUAUCGCAUGAUAUUGAUUUGAAAGGUGCAAUUGCAUCACUAAGAGAUGGACCUGCGUUGUAUUAGCUAGUUGGUGAGGUAACGGCUCACCAAGGCGACGAUACAUAGCCGACCUGAGAGGGUGAUCGGCCACACUGGGACUGAGACACGGCCCAGACUCCUACGGGAGGCAGCAGUAGGGAAUCUUCGGCAAUGGGGGCAACCCUGACCGAGCAACGCCGCGUGAGUGAAGAAGGUUUUCGGAUCGUAAAGCUCUGUUGUAAGAGAAGAACGAGUGUGAGAGUGGAAAGUUCACACUGUGACGGUAACUUACCAGAAAGGGACGGCUAACUACGUG
rnacentral:rRNA from 1 species